rnacentral:lncRNA from 1 species
CCCCCCUAUUUUUUUGUUUUUGUCAAUUAAUUGGUCAACUGAACCCAAAAUAUCCAUCAGUCGAUUGUUCUUAUUAAGAAUAGUCGAUUAAUGGCAGUUCGAGUUCACUUAUGCUUCGUUAAGGCCUAGUCAGGUUCCGAGUGGAUUCCAUUUGGAGCGAAAAUAUGUAAUUUUUUCUUGUUUCAUCUCAUUUGUUUUUCACUAUUUUCUUUUGUCCCCUUCUCUUGAUUUUCCUUCAUGACUAAUAUUCUUUUUUAGUUACAUGAUUUAGAGUUCUAGCAUUUUAGGAUUAUUUGUUGACUUUUGUGCUUAAUCAUCGUUAUUAUCCAAUGGAUUAGGGUUAAAGUUAUGCAUUUGCCAUCAGAGUCAUUAGAUGUCAAAUUUUGGAUAAUGUUAAUCUAAUCGAUUUAGGUUGUGUUUAGUCGAAUUCGUUUGGAAAUGAAUAUGCUAAUCUCAUUGUAGUGUGAUCACUUGUUAAUGGCAAUGUGUAAUUGGAUUCAAAAGGUUUGAACCUCAGGGAUGGUUUAUUCAAUAAUUAUUGUUAAUAUUGUUUUCAAUUAUUAAAUGUUGUGUCAUUUCUGAUCUCUCAUAGUGAUAAAAUUAUUUAAGUUUAGAGUUAAUUCAAGAGUUAGUCGCCUGAUUGUUUGGUACAUUCAAUUAAUCAAGUUGUGCCAGUCUUGGCUUUUAUUUGUUAAUACUAAUUCAUAGGCAAUUGGAAGUUUGGGGGGUUCAAUGGUUAAAGGAUAAUUUAAGGAGUUUAUCUGAGGGGUGGGUAAAGUUGAUAGGGUAAAAGAACCUACUAGAAGGAUCUAGAAUAAAGGGCAGCUGGCCUCAUUUGGCCAGCACAAGUGCUGAAAUCAAUUAGAGGUCGACAGUUGUCCAAAAUAUGUUAGAAAGAUUCCUUUUGUAGGCUGGAAUAAUUCUCAUCUUUCUGUUUUUAGGCACAUGAUUGAGAGGCCUAUAAAAGGGGCCCUUUCCUUCACUUUAGGAUCACAUUUUCACAUAUCAAUUUUUGCACAAAAGAUUCUGUAUUGUUAGAUAAAACCCUUUCUCAUUUUCUCAAAAAGACUAGAAGAAAUCCUCUAAAAUUUCUAGAACUCAAAAAGGGUUGAAACAUGGCUAGUUUCUUGAAGCUUUGAUUUUGAUUAUUACUGAUGUUCCUGCCUGUUAGCUUGCUAUCGAUUGUUCAUCUUGGAUGAGUUUAGGACUAUACUUUUCUUUGCUGUUGUAUCCAAGUACACCACACAAGCCCUGAAAAAUUCCAAAAAAAUGAAGAAUGAACUAUUUGGUUUGAAGUUGGAAACUCCAGGAUUUUUAUGUUAAUGUCCUCUUUGUUCCUUUAUUUGGCUUAUAGUUUCUUUUAUCUAUUUAGAUCUACUUAGAGCCAAUACUUUAUAUCAUUCAUUCAUAAUAUCUUGGUUGGAAAAUAGAAUUGGUUUCGUGUUUCAUGCGGGGUAAAAUAAUUUUGCAAUAGUGGAGAUAUGUAAUAUUUAAGGACUGUGGUAGAACUAGAUGGUGUGUUAAAUAUAUAGGUUGAUGUGAUACUUUUGAUUAAGUCAUGUUAAGUGUUAAUAUUAUUGGUAGGUUAAUAUAUGAUGAGUUCUUAUUAGUAUUCAGUAGGCGCGGAAUCAUUUUAUGCUUUGGUUAAGAUUAGUUUGUAUAUGUAAAUUGGAUAUCCUGUUAAUAUUGAUAACAAAGCCAUUAAAGGUUAGCUUGUAAUUUGGACAUCCAUGUACCUCUAAUGUUUGAAACUGUUGUACAACUUUUUCAUAAGUGAGUUAGGAAGGGAUUAAGCCUAAAAGGGCCUUAAUCUUGAAGGUCCUCUUUUGUUAGAGGUUAUUGGGCCAACCAUGGCCUAUAUUAGGUGGUCCACAUGGAAUUGUAUUUAGAAAUGUAUUUUAUUGUGGCCUUUGGGGCUCGAUCGCGAUCCAUAUUAGGUUCAUCAACUUCAACUUUGUAUGUUUCUAUAUGCUGAACAAUAGAAAUGAUUUUCUUUACUAGAAAUUCAUUUUGAAAGGUCUAGGCUAGACAUUCGCCAAAUCAAGCCAGCCAAAUCAGUUAGGUUGAUCUUCCCUUUUAGCUAGUUUAAGCCCAAUCCCAUUAGCGCCA